rnacentral:rRNA from 1 species
AAAUUGAAGAGUUUGAUCAUGGCUCAGAUUGAACGCUGGCGGCAGGCCUAACACAUGCAAGUCGAGCGGUAGCACAGAGAGCUUGCUCUCGGGUGACGAGCGGCGGACGGGUGAGUAAUGUCUGGGAAACUGCCUGAUGGAGGGGGAUAACUACUGGAAACGGUAGCUAAUACCGCAUAAUGUCGCAAGACCAAAGUGGGGGACCUUCGGGCCUCAUGCCAUCAGAUGUGCCCAGAUGGGAUUAGCUAGUAGGUGGGGUAACGGCUCACCUAGGCGACGAUCCCUAGCUGGUCUGAGAGGAUGACCAGCCACACUGGAACUGAGACACGGUCCAGACUCCUACGGGAGGCAGCAGUGGGGAAUAUUGCACAAUGGGCGCAAGCCUGAUGCAGCCAUGCCGCGUGUGUGAAGAAGGCCUUCGGGUUGUAAAGCACUUUCAGCGGGGAGGAAGGCGGUAAGGUUAAUAACCUUGUCGAUUGACGUUACCCGCAGAAGAAGCACCGGCUAACUCCGUGCCAGCAGCCGCGGUAAUACGGAGGGUGCAAGCGUUAAUCGGAAUUACUGGGCGUAAAGCGCACGCAGGCGGUCUGUCAAGUCGGAUGUGAAAUCCCCGGGCUCAACCUGGGAACUGCAUUCGAAACUGGCAGGCUAGAGUCUUGUAGAGGGGGGUAGAAUUCCAGGUGUAGCGGUGAAAUGCGUAGAGAUCUGGAGGAAUACCGGUGGCGAAGGCGGCCCCCUGGACAAAGACUGACGCUCAGGUGCGAAAGCGUGGGGAGCAAACAGGAUUAGAUACCCUGGUAGUCCACGCCGUAAACGAUGUCGAUUUGGAGGUUGUGCCCUUGAGGCGUGGCUUCCGGAGCUAACGCGUUAAAUCGACCGCCUGGGGAGUACGGCCGCAAGGUUAAAACUCAAAUGAAUUGACGGGGGCCCGCACAAGCGGUGGAGCAUGUGGUUUAAUUCGAUGCAACGCGAAGAACCUUACCUGGUCUUGACAUCCACAGAACUU